CGGGAGGCAGCAGUGAGGAAUAUUGGUCAAUGGACGGAAGUCUGAACCAGCCAAGUAGCGUGCAGGAUGACGGCCCUAUGGGUUGUAAACUGCUUUUGUAUGGGGAUAAAGUUAGGGACGUGUCCCUAUUUGCAGGUACCAUACGAAUAAGGACCGGCUAAUUCCGUGCCAGCAGCCGCGGUAAUACGGAAGGUCCAGGCGUUAUCCGGAUUUAUUGGGUUUAAAGGGAGCGUAGGCUGGAGAUUAAGUGUGUUGUGAAAUGUAGACGCUCAACGUCUGAAUUGCAGCGCAUACUGUUUUCCUUGAGUACGCACAACGUUGGCGGAAUUCGUCGUGUAGCGGUGAAAUGCUUAGAUAUGACGAAGAACUCCGAUUGCGAAGGCAGCUGACGGGAGCGCAACUGACGCUUAAGCUCGAAGGUGCGGGUAUCAAACAGGAUUAGAUACCCUGGUAGUCCGCACAGUAAACGAUGGAUGCCCGCUGUUGGUACCUGGUAUCAGCGGCUAAGCGAAAGCAUUAAGCAUCCCACCUGGGG
rnacentral:rRNA from 1 species